rnacentral:rRNA from 1 species
UAGGGAAUCUUCCGCAAUGGACGAAAGUCUGACGGAGCAACGCCGCGUGAGUGAUGAAGGGUUUCGGCUCGUAAAACUCUGUUGUUAAGGAAGAACACUUGAGGUAGUAACUGGCCUUGAGAUGACGGUACUUAACCAGAAAGCCACGGCUAACUACGUGCCAGCAGCCGCGGUAAUACGUAGGUGGCAAGCGUUAUCCGGAAUUAUUGGGCGUAAAGCGCGCGUAGGCGGUAAAAUAAGUCUGAUGUGAAAGCCCCCGGCUCAACCGGGGAGGGUCAUUGGAAACUGUUUUAAUUGAGGGAAGAAGGGGAGAGUGGAAUUCCAGGGGGAGGGGUGAAAUGGGGAGAGGUAGGGAGGAACACCGGGGGGGAAGGCGGCUCUCUGGUCGGUAACUGACGCGGGGGUGCGAAAGCGGGGGGAUCAAACAGG